GUACCUGCUUCGGCAGCACAUGUACUAAAAUUGGAACGAUACAGAGAAGAUUAGCAUGGCCCCUGUACAGGGAUGGCACACAAAUUCAUGAACUGUUCCAUAUUUUU
ensembl:snRNA U6 U6 spliceosomal RNA